AUCUUAUUGAUACCUUAGCGCUAACCAGUCUGUGCUAAAGCGUGGUGAAAGAUUCAUAUUGAAUUAACUGAUAACUUGAGUCAUGACGGUUUUUGCUGUUCUGAUACUCGUUCUAAUAGCGUUCGAGGCAGGUGAAGCUGUAAAAUGUAAUCAGUGGACGAAUUUUUAUGAUAGAGACGAUCCCACUGGAGCAUCCGAUUUUGAAGAUCUUAAUUUAAUCAAGCGAGAAAACCCAAAUGACAAUAUCUGCACAGCCCCAUCAGCGUUAGAAGCUGAAACUCUUGCUGGCGUUAAAUACCAAGACACGAAUGAUGUCGUCAGAAUAGCCAGCGAUUUCACACAAUUUGCAUGUUAUGGUGCCGACCAACCCGACAAAGAAUCCUGUGAAGAUUACAAAGUCAGAUUCUGUUGCUUGCAUCUUAAGCCUUCGUGUCCAAAAGGCUACCUAUGGACCAAUUACUACAAUACUGACGGUAGUUCAGGGAAUGGUGAUUUUGAAAAGCUGGAAGAUAUCAGAAGGGUCUAUCCCAAUCAAAUCUGUGAGAGCCCGAUGUCUAUUGAUGUUAAGGACAUUCUCACAGGGUCUGAUUUUAGUCGAUUCAGAGAAACAGUUCACCUGAGCCCAUCCUUAGGGUUCUGGUGCGUUAACGGAGAUCAGAGUGAUGGGGCGUGUCGAGACUAUAAAGUAAGGUUCUGUUGUCCACGUUCACGAGAGUGACGUUUCACUACACAAGUAAUAAACGAUUUAUAAAA